rnacentral:rRNA from 1 species
AUAUUAAGAAGCGAGGGUAACCAGUUUGGGGAGCCGUAGUGAAAGGGAGCGUUAACUGCGCGUUUAGUUGCUGGGUCUAGACCCGAAACCCGGUGAUCUAGCCAUGGGCAGGUUGAAGGUCAGGUAACACUGACUGGAGGAACGAACGGACUAUCGUUGAAAAGCUAGCGGAUGACCUGUGGCUAGGAGUGAAAGGCUAAUCAAACCGGGAGAUAGCUGGUUCUCCCCGAAAUCUAUUUAGGUAGAGCCUCGGACGAAUACUAUUGGGGGUAGAGCACUGUUAAGGCUAGGGGGUCAUACCGACUUCCCACCCCUUUGCUACCACGGGAUACCACGAAGUAAUAUCCGGGAGACACACGGCGGGUGCUCACGACCGACCUCGAGCCGGAAACCCCCCCGCCCGCCCGCCAACGUCCCC